CUCUCCAUACUUCAGUUGGUAGAAGGCACGGCUGUAAUAGUUCCAACAUUAACCGUGAGGUCCCGUGUUCGAAUCACGGUGGGGAGA